rnacentral:lncRNA from 1 species
CUCCACCAGUGUCACCUCCAGCGCUGUCACCUCCACCAAUGUCACCCCCACUGGUGUCACCACCACCGAUGUCACCUCCACUGGUGUCACCUCCACCGAUGUCACCUCCACCGCUCCAGCCACCACCUCAGCAGGGACCUCCACUGUCUCUUCUGCUACUGAGGGAACCCCAACUGCUGUCACCUCCACCAGUGUCACCCCCACUGAUGUCACCUCCACUGCUCCUGCCACCACCUCAGGAGGAUCCUCUGCUGUCUCCUCUUCUACUGAGGGAACCACCACUGCUGUCACCUCCACUGGUGGCACCACCACAGAUGUCACCUCCACCAGUGUCACCCCCACAUCAUCUCCCACUGCCUCAGGAGCGUCCUCUACAGCCUCUUCCACAACCCUGCAAGGACCCUCCACCGCUGUCACCUCCACCGGUGUCACCUCCACCAGUGUCACCUCCACCAGUGUCACCUCCAUCAGUGUCACCUCCUCCGAUGUCACCUCCACCGCUCCUGCAACCAGCUCAGGAGGGACUUCCGCUGUCUCCUCUUCUACUGAGGGAACCACCACUACUGUUUCCUCCGCCGUUGUCACCUCCACUGGUGUCACCCCCACUGGUGUCACCACCACCGAUGUCACCUCCAUCAGUGUCACCCCCACCGAUGUCACCUCCACUGCUCCUGCCACCACCUCAACAGAGACCUCUGCUGUCUCCUCUACUACUGACGGAACCUCCACCAGUGUCACCUCCACUGGUGUCACCACCACUGGUGUCACCUCCUCUGAUGUCACCUCCACUGCUCCUGCCACCACCUCAGCAGGGAC